GACAGAGGAUGCAAGCGUUAUCCGGAAUGAUUGGGCGUAAAGCGUCUGUAGGUGGUUUAAUAAGUCAACUGUUAAAUCUUGAGGCUCAACCUCAAAAUCGCAGUCGAAACUAUUAGGCUAGAGUAUAGUAGGGGUAAAGGGAAUUUCCAGUGGAGCGGUGAAAUGCGUAGAGAUUGGAAAGAACACCGAUGGCGAAGGCACUUUACUGGGCUAUUACUAACACUCAGAGACGAAAGCUAGGGAUAGACAAG
rnacentral:rRNA from 1 species